ACGGCUCAGUAACACGUAGUUAAUCUGCCCUUAGGUCGAGAAUACCCACGGGAAACUGUGACUAAUACUCGAUAGGAGUUUUUUUCUGGAAUGAAUUUACUCUCAAAUUCGAGCCUAAGGAUGAGACUGCGGUCGAUUAGCUUGUUGGUGGGGUAACUGCCUACCAAGGCGAUGAUCGAUAGGGGCUCUUAGCGGAGUCGCCCCGAGAGGGAAUCUUAGACACUAUUCCCAGCUCUACGGAGUGCAGCAGUCGCGAAUCUUUUGCAAUGCGCGCAAGCGUGACAAAGCGAGCUAAAGUGAUUUCCGCACAGGAAAUCUUUUCUUCGCUGUAAAAAGGCGGAGGAAUAAGGACUGGGUAAGACCGGUGCCAGCCGCCGCGGUAAUCCCGGCAGUCCAAGUUGCAUCCAACAUUAUUGGGUCUAAAACAUCCGUAGCUUGUUUGUUAAGUUUCUUGUGAAAUUCUACAUCUCAAGGGUAGAGCGCGCAAGAAAUACUGGCAGGCUAGAGACCGGUAGAUGUAAUGAGUACAUCGGAGGUAGUGGUAAAAUACGUUAAUCUUCGAUGGACUAACAAUCAGCGAAGGCACAUUACAAGGACGGAUCUGACAGUGAGGGAUGAAGGCUAAGGGCGCAAAACGGAUUAGAUACCCGUGUAGUCUUAGCAGUAAACACUGCUCACUAAACAUCGGGCCCUCUUCGGGAGGAUUCGGUGCUGAAGCGAAGGCGAAGAGUGAGCUACCUGGGAAGUAUAGUCGCAAGAUCGAAACUUAAAGGAAUUGGCGGGGGAGCA
rnacentral:rRNA from 1 species